GUAAAAGCACGUACGGCAGAGUUUAACUUCUUUAAUCAAAUCCUUGAAUGAUCCAUGAAGAUUACCAGGAUGUCUGUUGAUCUCAGUUUGGAUACAAAUGAUUUUAUUUUUAUUUUACAUUUAAAGCUCAAACAGUUAAUUGAUUUAAAGUUCCGCAUGCAAUUAUUGUUAAACUUUCUUGUCCCUGUCCUAAAGUCGAGUUCAGGCUAGAAACAAAUCCCUUGCUUUUCUCCUCCACAGACCAGUUUCUCCCUCAGGUCUCUGGAUACUUUCACUUUCUGGAGGAUUUCAUCAUCAGCAGGCUCCGCCCCCUUUACUGCCUCAUAUGAUCCUGAUCCGUUUUCAGUUCUAACAAUCGUUUCCCAACCGUCUUCUGAGAAACAACUCCUCCAUCAAGUGAGUCAACAUCUGGUCUUUUUUUCAAUUUGACACCGUUUUUUGUUUUUUAAAUCUCAAAACUAGCUCUGAAUCGUUUCAAUCAGCCUGUUUGUGAACUAAAACCUUCAUUGAGAUUUUUUUCUUAUAACUUUGAAAAUGAAUAAAGCAAAUUUAAGGGUAGAAUUUGUUUGCAAACCGAAGCUGGAAGAUCAAGCGUUUCUUCAAGAUUUCUUCAGAGACGUUUCUGGUUGCAGAGGCGUGAAACUGCAGGUUACAGGUGUUUUACCUGCUACACUCGGGUUUGACAGCCUGCUGUGACACAUUUACUCACUUCUCAUGAUUAUAGUGAGAGACUCCGCUUAGAAAGAAGAAACAACUUGUUCUUUUAUUUGGAAAAUCAGUCGGCUAAGACAAAGAGGAUUCACUCGUUUUCUGAUGUUUGAACCUGCAGACGCCUCAUUUAUCUUUGUUUGAAUUCCAGAUGAACCCUCAGGAUGUCCUCCAUCUUCUUCAGGACGUUGGCGCUGAUGUCGGUGCUUCUGUGUGGAGUCUCGGCAGACGACGGUAUAUCACUACACUGCAACAAAACAUGGAAUGUUACAUUUGGAAAGGAACUGAAUCUCACGUGUUUCAUUAAAUUGAAACUAAACGACUGUAAAAAUGUUUCUGUUGAGUGGAACGACACAGUAGGGGACCUCUGUGUUAAUAACAAGUGUAUGUCUGACAACAAAACCUUUGCAACACUACAAAUGUUAAACGUCACUAAGGACAAGAACAUCACUGUUACAGUCGAGGCAGUUUGUGGCAGGGAUUCCAAGACUGUCAGUGUGAAGGUCAAUCCUGAAAACUUCCAAAGAUUAGAGUCAACACAAAGCCCAGAGGAACCCUUUUCUGACUUUGCCGUUGUUAUUGGAGUUGUUGGAGUUGUUGUAGUUGUUGUAGUUGUUGGAGUGGUUGUUCUGUAUAUGAUAUUCAAAAGGAAGUGCCCACCAUUGUCUUCGACAGCAGAAUCAGAUGCUUUGACAGACUCCGUAUAAAACGAACCUUUCAGCUCCGAAUGAACUUGUCAAGUUGGCCUGAGGAAAUCAUGUGACUUCCUUCAGCUCCGUCCGGCAGACGACGUCUUCACUUCUCUGCUGCUUCACUAACUCAGACCAGUUCAACCGUGUGAAGAACAAAAGAACAAGAGAGCAAAGCGCUCCGAUGUACGAGCAGGACUCAAACGCAUCAUGGAGACAAAACGCUGGCGAGUCCGGUCGGGUCGUCCCCAAAGUCAGGACCGAACACGAUGCAGAAACGAGGAGAAGAUGAUGAAGAAACGGGAUAUUUUAUGGAUCCAGGAUUUCUCUGGAGGUCCAGAGUUUCUCUGUUUUUAUGGAUUCAAGACAAAAUCUACCAAAUUAAUUGUUUUUUUGUAAAUUAUUUGCAUAAAAUCAACAAGUACCUUAAGUUUUUCCGAUGUCAAAUUAUUUUUAAAUCAUGAAUUUUUCCAUUCCCCGUGAACAAAAACAUGCUGUGAUUAUUUCAUUCAUGGUUUUCUGUCAUUCAGAUAAACUUGUUGGUUCUGUUUGUUUACAGCAUGUUUGUGUCUGUGAAGCCUUUUAAAUUAAUCUCUGUAAACAUUUUAUUCUCAAAUGUGAAUUUUAACCUGCAGGUCAAGGUUUGUGUAUGGGGACAUCAAUGGGUUACACUGCCCUCUAGUGGUGAAUCUAUGUAGCUUUUCUUUAAGAAAACACUGAAUCCAAAUCUUAAAUAUGUAAAAAAAAUACUGUAAAUAUGUGUAAAUAUAUGUUUUUUGUAAAUAUGUACAUCAUAUAAAGUUGUCUGCAUAUUAGCUGCUGCUUUUCUAAUAAAAACAUGAUGUUCAUGUCAGUCUAAUUAAAUGUUAUAUCAAUAUAAUUGGUGGAUAAAACAUUGAUCUGUGUGUGUGUUGGGAUUUAAUAUUUAUUUUAAUCUCUACAGUUGGUUUUGAUACAAAAACAUGAUCAUUUGUCAGUCACUGUGCUUUAUUGUGAAAAAUGUGUUAUAUUUUGAAAAUAAACUGGAUUUUCUCAUAUUGAUGUAACUUCCUACCAGAAUUGAUGCGGAUCGCUCACGCACAGAAUAGACCAGACGCCGAAAACGAUCCGCUGCACUUCCUUCCG
ensembl:lncRNA